UACGAAGGGGGCUAGCGUUGCUCGGAAUUACUGGGCGUAAAGGGAGCGUAGGCGGACAUUUAAGUCAGGGGUGAAAUCCCGGGGCUCAACCUCGGAAUUGCCUUUGAUACUGGGUGUCUUGAGUAUGAGAGAGGUGUGUGGAACUCCGAGUGUAGAGGUGAAAUUCGUAGAUAUUCGGAAGAACACCAGUGGCGAAGGCGACACACUGGCUCAUUACUGACGCUGAGGCUCGAAAGCGUGGGGAGCAAACAGG
rnacentral:rRNA from 4 species